GUAAGAGGCCUAAAUAUUCUAAAAGCACCAGAUCCCUUCUGAUCUUGUGUGUUAAGCAGGCUCAGCUCUGGUUAGUACGUAGAUAGGAGACCACCAAUGAAUACCAGAUGCAGCAGGCU
rnacentral:rRNA from 1 species